GGGGGCGACACGGCUUCGACGGAGAUAGGCGAACACGGGAUGCAUGCCGAGCACCAUCGACUCGUAAAUCCGAUGGAACACAACAUAGCUGCGAAUACGCAACUCGCUCUCGCCGCCUAAUUAGGCGACGACGUCCCUCCCGUCUUUGCCUGCGGGGCGGGAACGGACGUCAUUCAGCAGGCUGGCCGCGACCUGCCGCGUCGACGGGUCGUAGUGAGAUUUAUCGGCGCUCAGCCACGGGUGAUUUUGGUCGCGCUUUCACACCGGUGGUGAAACACCAAGCGCGGACACGCAUGUAGAGUCCCGCGGGGACGUAUCUUCGGACGCGGGUUCGACUCCCGCCGCCUCCACCA
rnacentral:tmRNA from 2 species